rnacentral:rRNA from 1 species
UACAGAGGCCUCGAGCGUUAGGCGGAAUCACUGGGCUUAAAGCGUGUGUAGGCGGACUUCUAAGUACCUUGUGAAAUCCCUCGGCUCAACCGGGGAACUGCGUGUGAUACUGGCGGGCUUGAAUUCGGGAGAGGGAUGUGGAAUUCCAGGUGUAGCGGUGAAAUGCGUAGAUAUCUGGAGGAACACCGGUGGCGAAGGCGGCAUCCUGGACCGAGAUUGACGCUGAGGCGCGAAAGCUAGGGUAGCAAACGGG